AACUUUCAACAACGGAUCUCUUGGCUCUCGCAUCGAUGAAGAACGCAGCGAAAUGUGAUAAGUAAUGUGAAUUGCAGAAUUCAGUGAAUCAUCGAAUCUUUGAACGCACCUUGCACUCUCUGGUAUUCCGGAGAGUAUGUCUGUUUGAGUGUCAU
rnacentral:rRNA from 1 species